rnacentral:tRNA from 1 species
GGCGUUGUGGCGGAGUGGUUAUCGCGACAGACUAGAAUCACGUGACCUGUGCCUAAACCGCACAGAUCACCAGUCAAAUCUGUUUCCCUCGGGAGCGCAAGUUCGAAUCUUGUCAACGUCG